rnacentral:misc_RNA from 1 species
GAUGAAGAACGUAGCGAAAUGCGAUAAUUAAUGUGAAUUGCAGAAUUCCGUGAAUCAUCGAGUCUUUGAACGCACAUUGCGCCUCAUGGCAUUCCGUGAGGCAUGCCCAUCUCAGCGUUAGAAAAUAUUCUCAAAUUUUAGUUUUGUGCUAAAAUUUGGAUCAUGUCAAGGAAGCUAUUACUAUUAUUGUGAUCGCUCUUUGGAAAUUGAUAGGUCUUUGAGUUGCUACUCAUAGAACGUGAUGAAUCUUUCUUCGUUCUAUUGUAAUUCACUCUGGUAGUCCUAAAACUUGUAUGCCUGUGGCAUAUCUUGUAAUUUGACCCGAGAUUGGGUAGGGAUACCCGCUGAACUUAAGCAUAUCAAUAAGCGGAGGA